GCGCAUCUCAGGAAAUUUGCGCACUCUUUGGAGAGCCCCAUGGUUAAUUCACUUGUUAUAUUAUUACUGUUAUUGUUAAUCCGUUGUAUCAAUGAGAAGAAAGCAUUGUAAAAACCCAAAAGUAAAUAAAAAUGGCUAAGAAGCCAUUUUUAAGAAGUAAGAAGAUAACACGUGGGUCUGAGAAAGGACUCCUCGUUCUCUAUAAUUAGUAGAACAAGGGGGAGAUCUGGGAGUUUCUAGAUGCCCAGUACAAAAGAGCGGAGCCAACUGAUGUGCCAGGGGAGGCCCGGGCUGGGGACAAAGAAGUCUCAGUGUGAUGACCUUGAGACCAGAGACCAGGGCAAGUGAGAAAAAUUUCAGGAAUAUUUCCCAUUGCAACAACCUGAAAUUAGCUGAAUUCUCAGAGGCUGCAAGCACAGGACUCAUAUCCUUGAGCACUGACUUGCCAUAGCUACCCUACAGCUGCCAUGAUGGAGAGACCACAUGGAGAGCACCCAAAGAGAGAGAGAUGCCUGAGGAACCCCAACUGUUUCCAGCCCAGGUGCCAGAUAUGCAAGAGAGGAAGCCUUCAAACUGAGUCCAGUCCCAGCUACUGUCUGACUACAACCAAAUGGGAGAGUCUGAGUGAGAACCACGAGCCUGGGCCUAGACAACCCCCAGAACUAUGCAUUAUAGCUGAUCACACUAACUUUGUGAGCCUUAGAAGUAAGGAGGAGCUGAAUUGGAACAGAUGAAAAAGAAUCCGUAAGUGUAUGAGAUCUGCCAUAGGAAAUGAUGCUAAGGAUGAUUAAAAUAGUCACAAGGAAACUGGAACAGCAUUAGAUAAUAUUAUUAAAAUAACUACAUAGUAAUAUGUAGCUCUUCUUGAGAGCUAAAAAUAUUUCUGGAAUUUUUUUUUUCAUUCAGUACCCUUAGAUUCCAAACCCUUAUAAACAUAGUGGGCUAUUUAUUUAUUUAUUUAUAACGGAUCAAGUGCAUUGUCAGUUAUUUUGACUAUUUCAUAUAGAUUAAAUAAUGUUUCUGCAUCUUUUUCAAAAGAAGAUUCGGUAAAUUUUUAAAAGUCUAUCACUGUGAAAAGUAACUAGAAUAAAACAGUUUUUCUCUUGAGAAGGUAUCAAAGUAUUCUAAAUAACUUUUAUAAGAUGUCAACAAAAUUGGGGAAUAUGGGAAAGGGAAAGAGGGGAAUAAACUUCCUUAUAAUGCUCAAGAAUGUCUAUUAUUUAUCAAUAUAGAUUACAAAGUCUAGUCUUCCACAAAAGUGUCAAGUCAAUCAAUACAUUGGGUCAAGCAGUUUUUAAGUGUUUCUUUCACAUUUAAAACUAAUUGUGCAUCUCUUUAUUUCAAAAGUGAUGUCUUAGGUUGGCUUCCCUGGGAAACAAAUAUUGAGACUCCGAGACAGACAUGCAUAUAGAAGUCACUGCAGAGGACUCAGAAACAAUAGCUGUGAGGAAGCAAGGAGAGCAGGAUUAAGCAGAGGGAGACGUCGAUCUGCCAUUUGGUCCUCACACUUCAGAGAUGUUUUACAAGGACACAAGGGGGGGGUGGGUCUUUGUAGUCACCCCCCUAGUUUCUAUACUGAACAAUCGCUGGAUGCAGACUGCUCAGGGGCAUGGAUACCACCUUAUGUAAGCCAGUUCCUUUAGGCUGAGGGCAGUUCCCAGAGACAGUCUCAGCUGUGAACUGUCCGUAACCAACAUUCCAGGCUGCUGAGAGAAUGGAUGCCUCACCACUGAAAGGAGAUCCAGGCAAAGCUCCAUGCUAUCUACACCACCCAGCAAAAGAGAAUGACUGGAUAAAAGAGGUGGGGUAAUUUGUUUCAUUUUAUAAAUGGAACACUUCCAACUAAAUCUUCACUCUAAUGAGGGAGGUAGUAUAAUACUAUGGUUCUCAAGUGGAUGUCCAUUGUUUACUCAAAAAGUAACAUAAUAGGUUGAUAUUU